AAACCAUGGUGAGGACAACUUCUCAAUAAAUCCUUAUACCUCUCUCAUGAAUCAUAUAAAGUCUCUAUAUCCAUUUGCAUGAAGGAAGAGAUAUCAUUCCUCAGCUU
rnacentral:snoRNA from 1 species